AUUGAACGCUGGCGGCAUGCUUUACACAUGCAAGUCGAACGGCAGCACGGGUGCUUGCACCUGGUGGCGAGUGGCGAACGGGUGAGUAAUGCAUCGGAACGUGCCCAUGAGUGGGGGAUAGCCCGGCGAAAGCCGGAUUAAUACCGCAUACGCCCUUAGGGGGAAAGCGGGGGAUCUUCGGACCUCGCGCUAUUGGAGCGGCCGAUGUCGGAUUAGCUAGUAGGUGAGGUAAAGGCUCACCUAGGCGACGAUCCGUAGCUGGUCUGAGAGGAUGAUCAGCCACACUGGGACUGAGACACGGCCCAGACUCCUACGGGAGGCAGCAGUGGGGAAUUUUGGACAAUGGGCGCAAGCCUGAUCCAGCCAUGCCGCGUGAGUGAGAAGG
rnacentral:rRNA from 1 species